GAUGAAGAACGUAGCGAAAUGCGAUAAGUAAUGUGAAUUGCAGAAUUCAGUGAAUCAUCGAAUCUUUGAACGCACAUUGCGCCCGCCAGUAUUCUGGCGGGCAUGCCUGUUCGAGCGUCAUUACAACCCUCAGGCCCCCGGGCCUGGCGUUGGGGAUCGGCGGAGCCCCCCGUGGGCACACGCCGUCCCCCAAAUGCAGUGGCGGUCCCGCCGCAGCCUCCAUCGCGUAGUAGCUAACACCUCGCGACUGGAGAGCGGCGCGGCCACGCCGUAAAACACCCAACUCUUCUGAAGUUGACCUCGAAUCAGGUAGGAAUACCCGCUGAACUUAAGCAUAUCAAUAAGCGGAGGA
rnacentral:misc_RNA from 1 species